UACGUAGGGUCCGAGCGUUUGUUCGGAAUUACUGGGCGUAAAGGGCUCGUAGGCGGCCAACUAAGUCAGACGUGAAAUCCCUCGGCUUAACCGGGGAACUGCGUCUGAUACUGGAUGGCUUGAGUUUGGGAGAGGGAUGCGGAAUUCCAGGUGUAGCGGUGAAAUGCGUAGAUAUCUGGAGGAACACCGGUGGCGAAGGCGGCAUCCUGGACCAACACUGACGCUGAGUGAGCGAAAGCCAGGGGAGCAAACGGG
rnacentral:rRNA from 1 species